rnacentral:rRNA from 1 species
AUGAAAGGAUGGAAACUAGUAUUGCUUUCCCUUGAUGGGCGGUUGGACUUGGUCAAGAGCGUCCUAUUGGUGAUGCCAGUGUUCCAAAUGAUAGAUCUUCAUCUGCCGGCAUGGCUGGCAAAAUUGAUCGACAAGGUUCGUCGUGGUUUUCUGUGGGAAGGCAGCGAAGUGGCAGCUGGAGGGAAGUGUCUUGUCAAC